GAUGAACGCUGGCGGCGUGCCUAAUACAUGCAAGUCGAGCGAACAGACGAGGAGCUUGCUCCUCUGACGUUAGCGGCGGACGGGUGAGUAACACGUGGAUAACCUACCUAUAAGACUGGGAUAACUUCGGGAAACCGGAGCUAAUGCCGGAUAAUAUAUUGAACCGCAUGGUUCAAUAGUGAAAGACGGUUUUGCUGUCACUUAUAGAUGGAUCCGCGCCGCAUUAGCUAGUUGGUAAGGUAACGGCUUACCAAGGCAACGAUGCGUAGCCGACCUGAGAGGGUGAUCGGCCAAACUGGAACUGAGACACGGUCCAGACUCCUACGGGAGGCAGCAGUAGGGAAUCUUCCGCAAUGGGCGAAAGCCUGACGGAGCAACGCCGCGUGAGUGAUGAAGGUCUUCGGAUCGUAAAACUCUGUUAUUAGGGAAGAACAAAUGUGUAAGUAACUAUGCACGUCUUGACGGUACCUAAUCAGAAAGCCACGGCUAACUACGU
rnacentral:rRNA from 1 species